UAACUUACCUGGCGGGGGAGAUUCCAUCUUCAGGAACGUGGUUCUCCCAGGCUGAUGUUCCUCGGUGGAGACAACUCCUGCAAAAUCCCCAAAUAUGGGAAUCUCGACUGCUGGUAGUGGGGCACUGCAUUUUUAUGGGGCAGUG
ensembl:snRNA U1 U1 spliceosomal RNA